AUUGAACGCUGGCGGCAUGCCUUACACAUGCAAGUCGAACGGCAGCACGGGAGCAAUCCUGGUGGCGAGUGGCGAACGGGUGAGUAAAGUAUCGGAACGUGCCCAGUCGUGGGGGAUAACGUAACGAAAGUUACGCUAAUACCGCAUACGAUCUAUGGAUGAAAGCGGGGGAUCGCAAGACCUCGCGCGAUUGGAGCGGCCGAUAUCAGAUUAGGUAGUUGGUGGGGUAAAGGCUCACCAAGCCGACGAUCUGUAGCUGGUCUGAGAGGACGACCAGCCACACUGGAACUGAGACACGGCCCAGACUCCUACGGGAGGCAGCAGUGGGGAAUUUUGGACAAUGGGCGCAAGCCUGAUCCAGCCAUGCCGCGUGCAGGAUGAAGGCCUUCGGGUUGUAAACUGCUUUUGUACGGAACGAAAAGGUUUGGCCUAAUACGCUGAACUCAUGACGGUACCGUAAGAAUAAGCACCGGCUAACUACGUGCCAGCAGCCGCAGUAA
rnacentral:rRNA from 1 species